rnacentral:lncRNA from 1 species
GUUUUUCUUAAACUAUCAGCAAUAGGUCAACUAUAUUUGUUGUAUGGAAGAAUUGUUAGCUGUUCUUGUCUGUAUGGCAUGGUUUAUCUGACCUUGACCUCAUUUUCAUGGUUCAUUGGUCAAUUUUUACUUUUCUUGGUUAAUGUUAAGUUUAUGUGACAGUUGUAAUGAAGUUUAUAUUUAGGAUUAUCAACAUAAUAGCAAUGAUUAGUAAAGAAGGCAAGACAUUUCAGCGUGUGCACUCCUGUUCUUGUUAUUUGCUGUGUUAUGAGCAUUAUACAAACUCAAGCAUUGGUGAUACCAUUUUUAAGUCCUCUUCUAAAACUUCACAAAACUUUCUGUACUAAAGCUCACAUAAUAUCUCUAUUUUUGUUUCAGUUGAGAACUUAGCGCAACCCAACAUGUCUUUACAUUGGGUAUCUAGCAUUACCAUAAUAAAGUAAAAAUAAAUUUACUCCCAGAAUAU